GACGAACGCUGGCGGCGUGCUUAACACAUGCAAGUCGAGCGGUAAGGCCCUUUCGGGGGUACACGAGCGGCGAACGGGUGAGUAACACGUGGGUGACCUGCCCUCAGCUCUGGGAUAAGCCUGGGAAACCGGGUCUAAUACCGGAUAUGACUCCAUGACGCAUGUUGUGGGGUGGAAAGCCUUGUGCGGCUGAGGAUGGGCCCGCGGCCUAUCAGCUUGUUGGUGGGGUGANGGCCUACCAAGGCGACGACGGGUAGCCGGCCUGAGAGGGCGACCGGCCACACUGGGACUGAGACACGGCCCAGACUCCUACGGGAGGCAGCAGUGGGGAAUCUUGCGCAAUGGGCGAAAGCCUGACGCAGCGACGCCGCGUGAGGGAUG
rnacentral:rRNA from 1 species